UGAGGAAUAUUGGACAAUGGAUGGAAAUCUGAUCCAGCCAUGCCGCGUGCAGGAAGACGGCCCUAUGGGUUGUAAACUGCUUUUGUAGGGGAGCAAUAAGGUCUAUGCGUAGACUGAUGAGAGUACCAUACGAAUAAGCAUCGGCUAACUCCGUGCCAGCAGCCGCGGUAAUACGGGGGAUGCAAGCGUAAUCAGGAUUAAUUGGGUUUAAAGGGUGCGUAGGCGGUUUGAUAAGUCAGCGGUGAAAUAUUUCAGCUUAACUGAAAGGGUGCCGUGGAUACUGUCAGGCUUGAAUAUGGUUGCUGUGGGUGGAAUGUGUGGUGUAGCGGUGAAAUGCUUAGAUAUCACACAGAAUAUCGAUUGCGAAGGCAGCUCACAAAGCCAUUAUUGACGCUGAUGCACGAAAGUGUGGGGAUCAAACA
rnacentral:rRNA from 1 species